CUUGGUGUCUGGAGCGGCGGGGGUACACCCGGUCCCUUCCCGAACCCGGCAGUUAAGCCCGCUAGCGCCGAUGGUACUGGUCUGGUAACGGACUGGGAGCGUAGGUCGAUGCCAAGU
rnacentral:rRNA from 1 species